UUAGGGCAACAAAUGAGAGUGAGUCGUGGACAGUACCACGCUUUACAAAUAUAUGUUGUAUAACGUGGAUCAAUCCACGUUAUACCGUUUAAAUUAUUUUUUUUUUAAUUUUUCGGUGAUCAGAUCUGACAAUUGAAAAAAAAAAUUGGGGUAUAAUGUGGACCAGUCCACGUUAUACCCGUUUUGGUAUGUAAAUUUUUGGCUACCCCUUUUGAUUUAUAUCGUGUAUUUUUAUACCUUUUAGGCUCCGGACUCUAUAUCUAUCCCUCCUGGGGUUAGGGGGGCAGCUAUGGAGAUGCAGGCUGAAGCAGAACGUAAAAAAAGGGCUCAAGUUCUUGAGUCAGAAGGAGAGAGGCAGGCAAAUAUAAACAUCGCUGAUGGGAGGAAGAGCUCGGUGAUCCUUGCCUCCGAAGCUGCAAAGAUGGAUCAGGUCAACAGAGCACAAGGUGAAGCUGAAGCCAUACUCUCAAGAGCACAAGCUACAGCAAAAGGAAUUGCCUUAGGUGCCGUUUGACCAUAAAAAUUAUUCACUUUUUUCCGGAAUUUUUUUUCACUUUUUUAACUUUUGGGUGUUUGGCCAAACACAACUCCAACUUCAAAAAUUCCAAAAAAAAGUGAAUUUGUUUUUGUUAUCUAUGGCCAAACGCCUACUUAGUGUCAUGAACGCUUAAAGAGCAUGGAGGUGCAGAGGUGAAAUCCUUGAAUUCAUGCCCAAAGUCUUGUUCCUAUGACAUGUAACAAGAUUUUGGAGAAAGAUAUGCUUCACUAAAUACAUCAACUUGGAUUUGUAAUAUUACCUUUGAUUGCAUUGAUCUAUUGGACUUUGUAGGCAGCAAGCUUGAGGAUUGCAGAGCAGUACAUCCAAGCUUUCAGUAACAUUGCAAAGGAGGGCACAACACUGUUACUUCCUAUAAAUGCUUCUGAUCCUGCCAGUAUGGUGGCUCAAGCUAUAUAUAUAUAUAUAUAUACACAUACACAAAAACUUAACGAGCAAGAACGCAAGGGUUGAGCUUCCAGAGGCCUCUCAAGCUGAACUGAAGCAGAUUGAUUCAUAUGCAGUAAUCAAUAAUGACCACUCAAUUUUGGAUGAAUAUACUGAUGAAGAUGACGAGAAGGAUCGCUAAUUGCUUUGUCAGACUCAUCUAUAGAGUAGCUUUAUUUUUUUACUUGGCCAUUAGGGAUUAUUUAGCUUUACAUACAUCUAUAGUCUGAGUAGCUCUGGUCAAUGAUAGGAUGCCUAUUCUUUUCACAUGGCCGGACUUGCUUCCACACCAUUGUUCCGGUGAUUGUGUAGCUGAGAAUGGAUGCAAAAUUACAGGGUUUCGAGAACUUUGUUCCAGCUCUUUCUGAUAAGCUUUUGACAUCUGAUUUUUGCAUUUUAUACUUGAGAAAAUAUACUAAGCAAAGUAUCAGGAAACAUAAGAAGAAAACCAAGCUUUUCAACUUAUACCUAUGAAAACGAAAGAAUCGUCUGAUUAAUCCCUCAAGUGUACCUCCCUCAUAUGAUUGUGAGAAAAUACUUGCAUCAUUUAAUGGUGGUUGACAUGAGAGCUUAUCAUG